GUGAUGUCAACCCUGGGGCCUGACAGAUGAGGACACUGACCUGCCCUGA
rnacentral:snoRNA from 1 species